GGUCAAGCUACUAAGGGCGUGCGGUGGAUGCCUUGGCGCCAACAGGCGACGAAGGACGUGGCAAGCUGCGAUAAGCCUCGGGGAGCCGCAAGCAGGCUUUGAUCCGGGGAUCUCCGAAUGGGGCAACCCCUCCGAGCAAAACUCGGAGACGGCCCGCUGAAUCCAUAGGCGGGUACGAGCGAACCCGGGGAAGUGAACCAUCUCAGUACCCGGAGGAAAAGAAAUCAACCGAGAUUCCGAAAGUAGCGGCGAGCGAAAUCGGAACAGCCCAAACCGCGGUGCUUGCACCGCGGGGUUGCAGGACCGCAUCAGUAGAGUUACCAAUCCGACCGUUAGGUGAAUCGGCUGGAAAGCCGGGCCAGAGAGUGUGAUAGCCACGUAACCGAAAACGGUUCGGACUCGAAGCGGGAUCCUGAGUACCACGGGGCACGGGAAACCCUGUGGGAAUCUGGGGGGACCACCCUCCAAGGCUAAAUACUCGUUGGCGACCGAUAGUGAACUAGUACCGUGAGGGAAAGGUGAAAAGAACCCCUGCGAGGGGAGUGAAAUAGGACCUGAAACCGCAUGCCUACAAGCAGUCAGAGGGCUAUGCCCCGGCUUCGGCCGGGGAAGUGCCUGAUGGCGUGCCUCUUGCUUAAUGAGCCGGCUAGUUAUUCUCACAGGCAAGGUUAAGCGAAAGCGAGCCGUAGCGAAAGCGAGUCCGAAUAGGGCGUUGAGUCUGUGGGAAUAGACGCGAAGCGGGAUGAUCUACCCUUGGCCAGGCUGAAGGCCGCUUAACCGCGGCUGGAGGGCCGAACCGGUGUUGGUUGAAAACAGCUCGGAUGAGCUGAGGGUAGGGGUGAAAGGCUAACCAAAUUCCGUGAUAGCUCGUUCUCCCCGAAAUGCCUUUAGGGGCAGCCUCGUGUGGUCUGCCGCGGCGGUAGAGCGCUGGAUGGCUGAGGGACCAUUCCAGGUUACCGACUCCAACCAAACUCCGAAUGCCGCGGACAGCAGCACGGGAGUGAGACUACGAGGGAUAAGCUUCGUGGUCGAAAGGGAAACAGCCCAGACCGCCAGCUAAGGUCCCGGACUGCAGGCUAAGUGGGAAAGGAUGUGCAACCGCGAAGACAGCCAGGAGGUUUGCUUGGAAGCAGCAAUCCUUUAAAGAAAGCGUAACAGCUCACUGGUCAAGCGGUCGCGCACCGACAAUUCAACGGGGCUCAAGCCUGCGACCGAAGCUGCGGAAGGGCCGAGGCGUUGCGACGCUUCGGCCUUUGGUAGGGGAGCAUUCUGUGGAGUCCGAAGGCGGACCGAGAGGACCGCUCGACGCCACGGAAGAGACCCUGCCGGCAUAAGUAGCGAUAAACGCGGUGAGAAUCCGCGUCGCCGAAAGUCUAAGGUUUCCUGAGGAAGGUUCGUCCGCUCAGGGUUAGGCGGGGCCUAAGGCGAGGCCGAAAGGCGUAGCUGAUGGACAGCCGGUCAAUAUUCCGGCCCCACCGGAGGGGCGUUUGCACGAUGGGGAGACGCAGAAGGAUAGGCGGGUCGUCCUAUGGCUAUGGCGAUCCGACGCCGGAAGCGGGGAGUGGCAGGAAAAUCCACCACUCCGUUACCCGUGAGGGCGUUGGCAGGGACGCAGGUCCCGAGGCCGCUGAGUCCACGCUGCCAGGAAAAUCCUCUAAGGAGUCCUUCCGGUGCCCGUACCUCAAACCGACACAGGUAGACGAGAUGAGUAUUCACAGGCGCGCGAGAGAACGCUCGCUCAGGAACUAGGCAAAUUGGCCCCGUAACUUCGGGAGAAGGGGCGCCCCGGUAGGGUUCACAGCCCGAGGGGGCCGCAGUGAAAGGCGCUCUGCGACUGUUUAACAAAAACACAGCUCUCUGCGAAGUCGAACACGACGUAUAGGGGGUGACGCCUGCCCGGUGCCGGAAGGUUAAAGGGAGGGCUUAGCUCGCGCAUGCGGGCGACGGCCCGAACUGAAGCCCCGGUGAACGGCGGCCGUAACUAUAACGGUCCUAAGGUAGCGAAAUUCCUUGUCGGGUAAGUUCCGA
rnacentral:rRNA from 1 species